GCAAUCGACCAUCGGAUCAGGAAAGCAGGGCUUCCCGUCCGCUCAGCCGUACUUAAGCCUGUUCCCGGCCGGUCAGUACUACCGUGGGUGACCAGGUGGGAAUCCCGGCUGUUGAUUGUU
rfam:Fonsecaea pedrosoi CBS 271.37 unplaced genomic scaffold supercont1.5, whole genome shotgun sequence.